rnacentral:rRNA from 1 species
CUAUUGGACAAUGGGGGAAACCCCGAUCCAGCCAUGCCGCGUGUGUGAAGAAGGUCUUCGGAUUGUAUAGCACCUUAAGUUGGGAGUAAGGUUUGUUGGCUAAUAUCCAGCCAUUUUGACGUUCCCGACAGAAUAAGUACCGUCUAACUCUGUCCCAGCAGCCGCGGUAAUACAGAGGGUGCAAGCGUUAAUCGGAAUUACUGGGCGUAAAGCGCGCGUAGGUGGUUCAGUAAGAUGGGUGUGAAAGCCCCGGGCUUAACCUGGGAACUGCUUUCAUAUCUGCCGAGCUAGAGUACGGUAGAGGGUAGUGGAAUUUCCUGUGUAGCGGUGAAAUGCGUAGAUAUAGGAAGGAACACCAGUGGCGAAGGCGACUACCUGGACUGAUACUGACACUGAGGUGCGAAAGCGUGGGGAGCAAACA